rnacentral:rRNA from 1 species
AUGCAAGGAGUGGAGGAUCUCAAGAACGAACUCGCCCUGGUGGUGAAGCUCAAGCACAGGAAUCUUGUCAGGCUUGUCGGCGUGUGCUUGGAGCAGCAGGAGUGGCUGCUCUUCUACGAGUUCAUCCCCAACCGGAGCCUCGACCAGAUCCUAUUUGACACAGAGAAAGGGGAGCAGCUUGACUGGGGAAAGAGGCAGAGGAUCAUACGUGGGAUCGCUCGAGGCUUGUAG